rnacentral:rRNA from 1 species
AAAAAUUUAGUUUUAUUUUUUUUAAUUUUUAAAAAAAGAAAUUUUUAUAUAUUUAUGAAAACUUUACCUUUUGUAUAAGUGUUUUACGAAAAAUUAAUAUUAUUAUUUUUCUCGAUAUUAAUAGAUUAAAUAAAUGUAUAUAUUUAACGUGGUAUAGUUGAGAAUAUAAGAUUUAUUAGAAAUGAAAAGUUUUCAGUAUUAAUUAUAACUAGAUAUUAUUAAAAAGUAUUAAGUACUCUUUACAAUUAUAAGGUUUUUAAAUCUUAUAAAUUAAGAAUUGUAAUAAACUCUUUAUAUAAACUUUGAAAUAAUUUUUUUAUUUAUUAAAAGCAAAAUUAUUAUAAAUUUUUAUAAUCUUUAUAAUAGAUAAUAAUAAAUAAUAAUAAUUUUAUUUAUUUUUUAUGUAAAAAUUAGUAAUAUAUGAAAAAUAUGUUUAAGGAAUUCGGCAAAUAUAGAUCUCAACUGUUUAUCAAAAACAUAGUUUAGUGAAUUUAUACUAAAUUAAUUCUGCCCAGUGUCAAAAUUAGAUAAAUGGCCGCAGUACCCUGACUGUGCUAAGGUAGCAUAAUCAAUUGGCUUUUAAUUGAAGUCUGGAAUGAAAGGAUAAAUGGGAUCUUUCUGUCUUUAAGAUAUUAAUAUGAAUUUAUUUAAAAGGUGAAAAUACCUUUUUUUAAAAAAAAGACGAGAAGACCCUAAGAAUUUUUAAAAUUAAAUUUUUUUUUAAUUUUUUUGUUGGGGCGACAAUUUAGUAAAAAGUUAACCUAAAUUAUUUAAUAAGGCGAAAUUUUUAAGUAAAAUAAAAUUACCUUAGGGAUAACAGCAUAAUUUUUUAAUAGUUUGUGACCUCGAUGUUGGACUAGGAACUUUAUGGCUAGCAGUCAAAUAAGAUUUAUUCUGUUCGAAUAAUAAUAUCCUACAUGAUCUGAGUUCAGACCGGCGUAAGCCAGGUCAGUUUCUAUCUUUUUUUAUUUUAAUUGUAGUACGAAAGGACCUAAUUAAUUUUU